CAAUAGCGUAUAUUAAAGUUGUUGCGGUUAAAAAGCUCGUAGUUGGAUUUCUGCCGAGGACGACCGGUCCGCCCUCUGGGUGUGUAUCUGGUUUGGCCUGGGCAUCUUCUUGGAGAACGUAGCUGCACUUGACUGUGUGGUGCGGUGUCCAGGACUUUUACUUUGAGGAAAUUAGAGUGUUUCAAGCAGGCACACGCCUUGAAUACAUUAGCAUGGAAUAAUAAGAUAGGACCUCGGUUCUAUUUUGUUGGUUUCUAGAGCUGAGGUAAUGAUUAAUAGGGAUAGUUGGGGGCAUUCGUAUUUAACUGUCAGAGGUGAAAUUCCUGGAUUUGUUAAAGACGGACUACUGCGAAAGCAUUUGCCAAGGAUGUUUNCAUUG
rnacentral:rRNA from 1 species